UCCUUGCAAUUAUCAUUAACUUUUGCUAUUCUAUAAGAAGAAUUAUUUUUGUUCGGCAACAAUCGAUAGGUGAAUACUUUCGUCUUAAAGAUUUUGAUCAUGAGCAAGGAUAGUAAUACAAUGUGUGCAUAGCACACGAGGAGGCAACAUUCAUGGAAAAAGGUACAGUAAAAUGGUUUAACGCAGAAAAAGGUUUCGGAUUUAUCGAGCGCGAAAACGGCGACGAUGUAUUCGUACAUUUCUCAGCAAUCCAAAGCGAAGGAUUCAAAUCUUUAGACGAAGGUCAAGCUGUAACAUUCGACGUUGAAGAAGGUCAACGCGGACCUCAAGCUGCUAACGUUCAAAAAGCAUAAGUAGAAAAAGACUCUGAAAUCAGAGUCUUUUUUUU
rnacentral:sRNA from 1 species